rnacentral:rRNA from 1 species
CAGUAGCCGCGGUAAUACGUAGGUCCCGAGCGUUGUCCGGAUUUAUUGGGCGUAAAGCGAGCGCAGGCGGUUAGAUAAGUCUGAAGUUAAAGGCUGUGGCUUAACCAUAGUACGCUUUGGAAACUGUUUAACUUGAGUGCAAGAGGGGAGAGUGGAAUUCCAUGUGUAGCGGUGAAAUGCGUAGAUAUAUGGGGGAACACCGGUGGCGAAAGCGGCUCUCUGGCUUGUAACUGACGCUGAGGCUCGAAAGCGUGGGGAGCAAACAGGAUUAGAUACCCCCGUAGUCCCUGUCUCUUAUACA